UACGUAGGGUGCAAGCGUUAAUCGGAAUUACUGGGCGUAAAGCGUGCGCAGGCGGUUUUGGAAGUCUGUCGUGAAAUCCCCGGGCUUAACCUGGGAAUGGCGAUGGAGACUGCAAGGCUAGAGUUUGGCAGAGGGGGGUAGAAUUCCACGUGUAGCAGUGAAAUGCGUAGAGAUGUGGAGGAACACCGAUGGCGAAGGCAGCCCCCUGGGUCAAGACUGACGCUCAUGCACGAAAGCGUGGGGAGCAAACAGG
rnacentral:rRNA from 1 species